AAGUGUUGCAGCUCUUUUAGAACUUGUCUAGCAGGCUUUCUGACUAUUGCUUGAAACCUCA
rnacentral:snRNA from 1 species